UACCUUUUGUAAGUCAAGCUGUGCUUCAAUGUCCUUCUCUCAUUAUUCAGAGGCUAACAGUAGAUCCUGGCGGUGUGCGAGGGAGGAGGGUGCAUCUGAAUGGAGCAGUAGCAGCAGCAGCAGCUCCACUGCCUACUCUCUCUCUCUCUCUCUCUCUCUC